rnacentral:rRNA from 1 species
UACGAAGGGGGCGAGCGUUGUUCGGAUUUACUGGGCGUAAAGGGCGCGUAGGCGGCCCUCCUAGUCGCGUGUGAAAGCCCCGGGCUCAACCUGGGAACGGCGCGCGAAACGGGGGGGCUGGAGUUCGGGAGAGGAGCGUGGAAUUCCCAGUGUAGAGGUGAAAUUCGUAGAUAUUAGGAAGAACACCGGUGGCGAAGGCGGCUCUCUGGAACGGUACUGACGCUGAGACGCGAAAGCGUGGGGAGCGAACAGG